CUGGAUUGUCCUCCUUCACCACAGAUUUGAAGUUUUCUACACACAGUUUGCACAAUGGAAUUUGUAUUUAAUUCAAUGGAAGAAUAUCUCCAUGACUAUCACACUUCCGACAGUUUUCGUUUUGCAUAUGAGUAUGACACCAUCAUCCAUCACAAAAGUAUUCCGGAGGGCAACAUUUCUUUCCGUAUUAUCGAAAAUAUGAAUACUUCUAACAUACCAG